rnacentral:rRNA from 1 species
UGGGGAAUAUUGCACAAUGGAGGGAACUCUGAUGCAGCGACGCCGCGUGAACGAAGAAGGCUUUCGAGUCGUAAAGUUCUUUUAUAUGGGAAGAUAAUGACGGUACCAUAAGAAGAAGCCCCGGCUAACUACGUGCCAGCAGCCGCGGUAAUACGUAGGGGGCUAGCGUUGUCCGGAAUCACUGGGCGUAAAGGGUUCGCAGGCGGAAAUGCAAGUCAGGUGUAAAAGGCAGUAGCUUAACUACUGUAAGCAUUUGAAACUGCAUAUCUUGAGAAGAGUAGAGGUAAGUGGAAUUUUUAAUGUAGCGGUGAAAUGCGUAGAUAUUAAAAAGAAUACCGGUGGCGAAGGCGACUUACUGGGCUCAUUCUGACGCUGAGGAACGAAAGCGUGGGUAGCAAACAGG